CCUACGGGUGACAGCAGUCGAGAAUCUUUCACAAUGGGGGAAACCCUGAUGCUGCGACGCCGCGUGGGGGAAUGAAGGUCUUCGGAUUGUAAACCCCUGCCAUGUGGGAGCAAAUUAAAAAGAUAGUACCACAAGAGGAAGAGACGGCUAACUCUGUGCCAGCAGCCGCGGUAAUACAGAGGUCGCAAGCGUUGUUCGGAAUCACUGGGCGUAAAGCGUGCGUAGGCUGUUUCGUAAGUCGCGUGUGAAAGGCGCGGGCUCAACCCGCGGACGGCACAUGAUACUGCGAGAAUAGAGUAAUGGAGAGGGAGCCAGAAUUCUCGGUGUAGCAGUGAAAUGCGUAGAUAUCGAGAGGAACACUCGUGGCGAAGGCGGGUUCCUGGACAUUGACUGACGCUGAGGCGCGAAGGCGAGGGGAGCGAAAGGGAUUAGAUACCCUGGUAGUC
rnacentral:rRNA from 1 species